UUCGUCCCUUUCCUCCGUAAGUAUAUAGUUCACUUGUCACAUUUAUAUAUGAAUUACAAACUUAAGCUACAGUUUGUGUUUUAUAUAGUUUCGUGUUAUUUGAUGAUAUUCAAGAUUUCAAUAACUUACCACACGUAAAGAGUAUCUUUGCGAGGGUAGUUGUUAAGUUUCCUAGGCGUCAUGAUAGUCAACACUUCAUCCUACAGGAUAUCACAGGAUCCAAAAUGGAAGCAAUUUCAAGUCGCAAUAAUGUUCCACGUUUCGAUGCCUUACUCACACAAGGAUGCACAUAUACAUUGUAUAGAGUGGGAUUCUGUCUAAAUAGGGAGGGGAUUCAAUUUCGGAAUAUUGGACAUGGGCUAGAGAUCGGACUGAUAACACAUACUAUUGUGGAGCCAUUCAUUAAGCCAAUCCAAUUUCCUCCAUUUCCAAAGUAUCUUAUGCCAUUCCAUAAGGUGUAUCAACAACCGCAUAAGUCGUUCGUAGACAUUAUUGGCAUAGUUCUUCAUUUAGAGCCAUUAAAGCAUAUCGGUGGAAGGCCGUAUAGAGAGGCUGUACUAAUGGAUUCCAGGUGGGAUCUAAUCGUCGUGGGGGUAUGGACUGACCUCUUGCAAAGAAAUGCUCUACGAUGGUCGUUAGCUAGAGUUGACAAUAACAUCAUUAUUGGAACUAUGUUGCGUCGUAA